UACGGAGGGGGCUAGCGUUGUUCGGAAUUACUGGGCGUAAAGCGCACGUAGGCGGAUAUUUAAGUCAGGGGUGAAAUCCCGGGGCUCAACCCCGGAACUGCCUUUGAUACUGGGUAUCUCGAGUCCGGAAGAGGUGAGUGGAAUUCCGAGUGUAGAGGUGAAAUUCGUAGAUAUUCGGAGGAACACCAGUGGCGAAGGCGGCUCACUGGUCCGGUACUGACGCUGAGGUGCGAAAGCGUGGGGAGCAAACAGG
rnacentral:rRNA from 1 species